UAUCCAAAGCUGGCUCCACCGCUGCAGUCAUGACCUGUGACACCGACCCAUUAACCUUUUAUGUUAAUUACAACAUCAGCCCCAUAUAGCUGCACAGUCUCACGUAGCUGUCUCUUCUGCAUGUUAGCCUUAGCCGUUGUUAAAAUUGAUCAAGUGUUUGAUAAGAAAGCACUGUUGUGUGGGAAACAAGGAGAAUAUAGCAUUGCUAUAUCCAUUACCAAAUGCUAUCUAAAACAGAAGAUAUAGCAUUGCUAUUAUGCUAUAUACCCUGUGAAAAGUUGUUUUGUUCCGUAUGUGAUUGAUCAGAAGAUGCUGUAAGGUAUUGUUGGCAAUAUUAUAGAAGUAGAAUUAGAUGAGACCAGGUGAAGAAAGAGAAGGAUAACUCUAGCCUUCUAUCUUCUAACAACUCAGCUGAUUAGAUGCAAGUCUUGAAUUUAGUGACUGAAUACAAGUGAGCUCUUAUAAGUUAUAAGUAGGUACAUACAACAAUUGCAAUUGGAGAAUUGAUCAUGUAAGUGUUACAGCCUCUCGAUUAUGCAAUAUAUUAACUUGUUGUGAUGACAGUUCUUUUGGACAGUUAUUCCAUGUAGCAUAAAUGUUUCUUGCAUAUGUACAUUCUGGUAUUCAUUUUGCGAUUUCAUACGAUAA